CGCAUCACUGGUGUUCGGGUUGUCAUGCCAAUGGCACUGCCCGGUAGCUAAAUGCGGAAGAGAUAAGUGCUGAAAGCAUCUAAGCACGAAACUUGCCCCGAGAUGAGUUCUCCCUGACUCCUUGAGAGUCCUGAAGGAACGUUGAAGACGACGACGUUGAUAGGCCGGGUGUGUAAGCGCAGCGAUGCGUUGAGCUAACCGGUACUAAUGAACCGUGAGGCUUAACCUUACAACGCCGAAGGUGUUU
rnacentral:rRNA from 1 species